GACUCUGGAGUUUCUGAUGCGCCAUCUUGUCAAAAUGGCCUCAUAUUGCUCAGAGACCAACAUGCACUGCAGGAACUUGGCAAUCGUCUGGGCCCCCAAUCUGCUAAGGUUUGCUCAUGUUGUAUAUACGUAAUAAUACAUAAGCUGUUUAUAUUGAGCCACAGUCUGUCCUGCUGGAAAAUAUACACAAGAUGUUUGUUUUACAUCAUUAAAAUGUAAUGAAUCAAGAUAAUUAGAUAAUUAUAAGAUGAAUUUCUUCUUAAUUUUCCACUUUAAAUGUUUCCCCUCCACCUUCCCUCCUUCCUUCUUCAUCUUCUCCAGCAUUCAUUCAUCCUUUCAUCCCUUCCUUCCUAACAAUCAAUCAAUCAAUUAAUCAAUUAAUGUGUAUGUUAAGGUCAAAGGACAUUGAGACAUCUGGAUUUAACGGUACAGCGGCCUUCAUGGAGGUCAGGGUUCAGUCCAUCGUCGUGGAGUUCAUCCUCACACACGUCCCUCAGCUGUUUCCUGACCAAGGUGGAUCCGGUGAGAGAAGGAAGUCCCUCCCCUCCCCGUCAGCCAUACCCAAUCACAGUCAGGAGGAAGGGUUUCAGCAUGUCCCGCACUUUGGUAGCAUCUGUCCAGGAGACGGUCCUCAACCCAUAAUACCUUACCACGCUAUCAUUGAAGGCACUGACAAGUAAGUCGACUCAUUGAUGUAUUAUGGCGGAUCUGGUUGACGGUUUUUAAUGCAGAGGUCAAAGGUCAACAAUUAUCAGCAGGUUCAUCGUAAAUAAACAGAUUUAUGAAAGUGGCAUUUACCAAACAGAGAACCUCAUGUUAGGCGUGACUUAAGUGUUCAAUAUUCGUGGUGGAAUAAUGUUUGCAUGAUUGACUUCAUUGAAUCUCGUUCAGGAGGAAAGGAUCUCUGAAAGGCAGGAGGUGGAUGUCCAUCUUCAACAUCGGAGGACGAUUUCCCGACCCACGACGGAGACACAAACACUCAACCAAAGGUAACGAUGAAGCUCUUAUUUAACUUUACACAUGUGUGCAGGGGAAAGGGACACAGAAGGUUAAAACUUCCUGUGUACUUUGUUUCUCGCCCCGCUUUCAUAUAUUUUGUCUUCAACAAUCGGUUCUUUGUUUCAGAGAAAGAGAGUCCUACUCUGAGACCAGCAAGAAGCAUGGACUCGCUCAGCAUCUCGCCCGGGCCGAGUGAAGGCUCCGUACGCUCGGCCCAGCGCCUUCCUUCCACCAGCGUGUCUCCCCUCGUCACUCCGUCCCCCCACUCUGGCGCCGAGCUCACGGCGUCCGCCGGUGCGAUAGGUGGAAGUGAAUAUGCUGUAACCUACCGCAGGGGAACGGGGUUAGUAAGCGGGGGUGCGGGGACGCAGGGCACCUACACUUCCCUUGACCCCGAAGGAGUCACAGGCAGCGAGACGCUACAGUCCAGAUCCCCGGGACUCACAACUAAAGUAGGCCGAAGAGCAGCCAUGCACAUCACGGGGCCCACCAUGGUGACUGUGCCCCUGCACAUCACCUCUAACCUGGCAUUAGGGGUGCUGCAAGGGGGUGGAGGCGACAGGCUCAUCCACCGCAGGGAUAAGGAUGGAGGGGACAGGGUGGAAGCUAAGGAAGGGGGAGAGAAGGUGGAGAGGAGGGAGAGCCGGGUCAUGGACAGGAAAGUGGAAGCAAGCAAAAAGGUUGAGGCGAAGGAGGAGAGAAAGCACAGUGGGAAUGUGGCAGACGGGGGGGAAGUUGUGGAUGCAGAAGUGAAUACGGUGGCAGGUGGUUGCGUGGAGGAAGAAGGCGAAGGAAAGAAAGAGGAGGAAGAGGAGGAGGUCAGAGAAGUGUGUAGAUGGAAGCUGGUGGUGGCGCGUCGAGCUGCGUCCACGGAGCAACGAGACAAAAGCCUGACAUCAGACGCUGAGGAAGAUAAUGCCGACGAUGAUGAAUACAUGGGUAACUCCUUCUGUUUCAUAACCAUAAGAGUUUAUUUAGUUUACACCACUUUAAUAAAUAAUG
ensembl:lncRNA